UCUACUUUGCUUCUUUAGAAAAGAGAGAAAAUACUACCAACGAAAGCAAAACUCGAAAAAGGCAGGAUCUUUUAACUACAAAUGAAAGCAAAUCAGUGGGAGAAAAAUCAGCCAGCUCCCGUUGGGUUGGGACGUGCCGAUUUAAACGUGGAUUCAAAGAGAGAAAACAAAUUUUGUGAGUAGGGAGUUUCGUGUCGUCAGGGAACAUUUGGAUAUUUUCCACUAUGGGUUCACCAUUUCCCUACAGCUUUUCCAGCUUCACCAUUUCUGCACAGCUUCAGUCCUCUGCUGGUAUUAUAGCUGCCGAGACCCACCGUAUGUCAUCUUACAAGGAAGCAAAUGGGUGCUUUUUUAUCUUGAUCAACUCUCUGGAAUGUUUCUAAGUUUUGGCUUUAUUUUGGAGGUUAUGGCUGAGCAUACAAAGUGAGCCAGAUUGUGCCACUGGUCAUUACCUAGAUUGCUAUGUAUUAGAAGUUGAAAGGAAUGUUCAACGUGAAAAUGACACUAGAAGUUGAAAGGAGAAUGACUUUUGUGAAGAAAUUUGUAUUUCCUAUUGAGAAUUUUAAACUUUCCAUAUAUACAACCUAGUUGAGAAAUUUGUAAAUAA